rnacentral:rRNA from 1 species
GGGGAAUAUUGCGCAAUGGGCGAAAGCCUGACGCAGCGACGCCGCGUGAGGGACGAAGGCCUUCGGGUUGUAAACCUCUUUCAGCAGGGAAGAAGCGAAAGUGACGGUACCUGCAGAAGAAGCACCGGCUAACUACGUGCCAGCAGCCGCGGUAAUACGUAGGGUGCAAGCGUUGUCCGGAAUUAUUGGGCGUAAAGAGCUCGUAGGCGGUCUGUCGCGUCUGCUGUGAAAACUCGGGGCUCAACCCCGGGCCUGCAGUGGGUACGGGCAGACUAGAGUGUGGUAGGGGAGACUGGAAUUCCUGGUGUAGCGGUGAAAUGCGCAGAUAUCAGGAGGAACACCGGUGGCGAAGGCGGGUCUCUGGGCCAUAACUGACGCUGAGGAGCGAAAGCGUGGGGAGCGAAC